UUUCCCAAAUGAUGCAAACUUUCCAUAUUUAUCUGAGUUUCAAUGCUGAAACAACUGGAAAAUAGCUGGAAUUACCGACUGAUGGGUUAU
rnacentral:sRNA from 1 species